rnacentral:rRNA from 1 species
AGAGUUUGAUNNUGGCUCAGAUUGAACGCUGGCGGCAGGCCUAACACAUGCAAAGUCGAGCGGCAGCACAAGGGAGUUUACCUCUGAGGUGGCGAGCGGCGGACGGUUGAGUAAUGCCUAGGGAUCUGCCCAGUCGAGGGAUAACAGUUGGAAACGACUGCUAAUACCGCAUACGCCCUACGAAGGAAAGGAGGGGACCUUCGGGCCUUCCGCGAUUGGAUGAACCUAGGUGGGAUUAGCUAGUUGGUGAGGUAAUGGCUCACCAAGGCGACGAUCCCUAGCUGUUCUGAGAGGAUGAUCAGCCACACUGGGACUGAGACACGGCCCAGACUCCUACGGGAGGCAGCAGUGGGGAAUAUUGCACAAUGGGGGAAACCCUGAUGCAGCCAUGCCGCGUGUGUGAAGAAGGCCUUCGGGUUGUAAAGCACUUUCAGUAGGGAGGAAAGGGUGUAGCUUAAUACGCUAUAUCUGUGACGUUACCUACAGAAGAAGGACCGGCUAACUCCGUGCCAGCAGCCGCGGUAAUAC